ensembl:lncRNA LINC00861 long intergenic non-protein coding RNA 861
GACUUAGGAUUUGAGCAUCUUUCUGUUAUGCUGUUGCCCCACUCCUAUUGCAAUACUCCCCUUCUUAAGAAAGUUUUUCUAGACUAAUGUCUAGAUUAAACUUCUUUUCUUUGACAAUAAUGAUGCCAUGACUUGGACAAAAUGCCCAUUGCCUCUGGGUCCUGCUUUCUUCACCCAGUGCUGCCUUAUUGGACUCCUUGUGCCUCUCCUUGGCUGGGGAAAUCAGAAUACACAGUGGUAUCCCACUUCUAAGAUGCCUGAUCUGAAGGACAGUAAAACAACUGACCUUUGCCAGCAUGUAAAACACAUGGUUUAACUAGUCCUCCAGGAACAACACUGAGCAAUCCUGACCUGGGACUACUUUACUCGGCCAUCUCCUACUUGAGAUGCUCCUUGUCUCUCUGUUCAAGGACACCUUUUCUGAGCCUUUCUUGAACAAGAGUGGAGGACCGAUAGGGCGAUUAAACUGUCCUUGACACAACUUUAGAGCUUCAACUGAGAAUCUAGAAGAGAGUAGAUGGAAAAAUAUUUUUCCCUCCCCUCCAAAUGCAAGGAUAAUCUUACACGAGUCCAGGAGGAAGGCUCAUUCCACACUAAGUGUUCUGAAUCAAAAAGAUGAACAAAAUACAGUGCCAUUCUUCAAGGACUUCACAGUCUACAGGAAAGGGAUAUAGUUAAACAAAUAACUGCAGAAUUGGAAAUUGGAGCUGAUGUGCUUAGAAGUGUUUUGAACAAGGGGCAUGACUGUGACUCUCUCUGCUUUUGCAAGCUUCAGGAAAACCUUUACUCACAGUUGAAAAUACAGAGCCUCAGGGUGAAGCCCUAACUUCCCACAGCAGAUGGGGUCUAUGAGGAGGAAGAAGUAGACGCAUGGACCAGUCCUGUUAUGAAGACAAGUUUCAUGGUGCUACUCUGUCUCCAUGAGCUCCUAUGGCCCAGAAGCUGGCAUCCUGUGAGUGGGAAAUGUCCUCUCUUGGUCAAAGAGAGCUGCUCUGUCUAAUGCUACACCCUUCUCCUGGGGACAGUCUGAAAGGCUUCAAAGUCUUGGCAUUCCUUCUUCAAUUCAGCCCUCCAGAAAUGCCUGGGAAGUCACCUGUAACCAGUCUGACCCAGUCUUGCUUCUCUGACCCCCUGACAGGUCCUGGUCCAGAAAACACCCCCAAUAAACUUUACACAAAUAAAUUUCCAAUUCCGAGUCCGC